UACGUAGGGGGCAAGCGUUGUCCGGAUUUAUUGGGCGUAAAGAGCGUGUAGGCGGCCUGAAAGGUCAGCUGUGAAAACUCGAGGCUCAACCUCGAGACGCCGGUGGAAACUGCAAAGCUAGAGUCCGGGAAGAGGAGAGUGGAAUUCCUGGUGUAGCGGUGAAAUGCGCAGAUAUCAGGAGGAACACCGGUGGCGAAGGCGGGUCUCUGGGCCGAUACUGACGCUGGAGGAGCGAAAGCGUGGGGAGCGAACAGG
rnacentral:rRNA from 1 species